UAACAUCUUCGUAUGUUUCAGUGCGCAGGAAAAGGGAAUGCACAGGAAUGAGAUCGCUCAACAGCUUAAAGUUCCAUUGGAGAAGAUCUUGGAAGCAAUUGAGUCACUUGAAGCAGAAGGUCUGGUUUACUCAACCAUUGACGAGUGCCACUAUAAGUCUACUAGUGCUUGAAGCUCAAUAUGAGCAUAGAUAUUGGAUAGCCAAGUUUGUUAAGUAUGGAGUGGCAGAACUAGUGUAAUGUUUACUAGGUUAAUCCUAUUUAAGAGUAUUCCCCAUUUUAUGUUGAUGAGACAAGUGAGUUUGCUUUACUACAUAUAUGUUAAAGAAAGUUUAGAGUGAUAUCCAAUUUUAUCAGUAAAUAAAAUUUAUAUAUUUAGUAGUUA